UGGAGAGUCGGGCUUAUUUGGAAAAUAGGGAGUUGUCAGGCGGAAGAGAAGACUUGGCUUAAUAUUACAUUAGCCUAUCCAAAGCUCCCACUGCAAGUUUUCUGUGGCAUGUGUUUAAAACCUACAGCAGGCCUAUAACUAGCAUAUAUCUCAAACCGAGUUUAUAAGCCAAGGAAUUUGUUGACGGGGAUUUAUCAUCUUAAUAGCCAUCCCUCUGGAAAGCGCUGGUGUGCUGUCAUUGCGUAAACGCAUCCCCCACCUCCCUCGAAAGUGCUACUUCUGGAGGACUAGAGCGGACAUCACUGGACGUCUCACCUCCCUAACACAGUCUGUCUCCUACAUAUGUUUGACUCUCCACCUCUAUCCAGCCGACAGUGAGUCAUCCCCGGUAUAGCCAGUCGACCCGUCACUCCCGGUGGGUUCUUGUGCGGAGGAUGGAGACAAACCCCAUUCCCGUGGUAACGGUCCAGACGAGCCCGUUUGAUGACCAGCGGCCCGGUACUAACGGGCUGCGGCGGAAGACGGCUGUGUUCGAGGGCAAGAAGAACUACCUGCAGAACUACAUCCAAAGUGUACUGUCGUCCAUCGACCUGAGGGACCGCCAGGGAUGCACGAUGGUGGUAGGCAGCGACGGACGCUACUUCAGCCGAGCAGCCACCGAGAUUAUAGUUCAGAUGGCCGCUGCCAACGGGAUUGGUCGGCUGGUGAUUGGACACAACGGCCUCCUCUCCACCCCAGCUGUGUCCUGCAUCAUCAGGAAGAUCAAGGCUAUUGGUGGAAUCAUCCUGACAGCCAGUCAUAAUCCAGGAGGCCCCGGGGGAGACUUUGGGGUCAAAUUCAACGUGGCCAAUGGAGGCCCGUCUCCAGACACGGUGAUGGAGAAGAUUGCCCAGGUGAGUAGGACCCUGGAGGAGUAUGCCAUAUGUCCUGACCUCCGCAUUGACCUGGCCAGGCUGGGACGCCACGACUUUGACCUGGAGAACAAGUUCAAACCCUUCAGAGUUGAGAUAGUGGACUCGGUGGAGUUGUACCUCAACCUCCUGAGAACCAUCUUUGACUUCAACGCCAUCAAGAGUCUUCUGACAGGACCUGAACAGCUGAAGAUACGCAUAGACGCCAUGAACGGAGUGAUGGGUCUGUACGUGCGCCGUAUCAUGUGUGAUGAGCUGGGGGCUCCUGCCAAUGCGGCUGUCAACUGUGUCCCCAUGGAGGACUUUGGGGGCCGGCCUCCAGAGCCCAACCUCACAUACGCAGCCCCAUUGGUUGAUGCCAUGAAGGGCGGAGACAUUGGUUUCGGAGCUGCGUUCGAUGCAGACGGGGACCGGUAUAUGAUCCUGGGUGAGAACGGUUUCUUUGUGAACCCUUCAGACUCCUUGGCUGUUAUGGCUGCCAACCUCUCCUGUAUCCCCUACUUCAGACAACUGGGACUAAAGGGCUUCGCUAGGAGUAUGGCUACCAGCACUGCCCUAGACAGUGUGGCCAAGGCCCUGAAGGUGGCUCUGUAUGAGACUCCUACAGGCUGGAGGUUCUUUGGGAACCUGAUGGACUCCGGGAGGUGCUCGCUCUGCGGAGAGGAGAGCUUCGGGACAAGUUCAGACCACAUCCGUGAGAAGGACGGUCUGUGGUCGGUGCUGGUGUGGCUGUCCAUGAUGGCUGCCAGGAAACAGGGCGUGGAUGAGAUCGUCAACGACCACUGGGCCAAGCUCGGACGCAACUACUUCUGCAGGUUUGACUAUGAGGGCGUGGACCCCAGAGCAGCCUUCUAUCUGAUGAGGGACUUGGAGGGGGUGAUCACAGACAAAGCCUUCCCAAGCCAGAAGUUUGCUGUGGGGAACACCGUCUACAGCGUGGACCGGGCUGAUAACUUUGAGUACGUCGACCCUGUGGACGGAACCGUGGUCCGCAACCAGGGUCUGCGGAUCAUCUUCACUGAUGCAUCCCGUCUGGUCUUCCGUCUGAGUGGAAGUGGGGGAGGGGCCGGGGCCACAGUCCGGAUCUAUGCAGAGAGCUUAGAGAGAGACCCCGAGAGACAAAACAGAGAAACUCAGGCGGUGCUGGGUCCCCUCAUUGCCAUCGCCCUGAAGAUCUCUGACAUCCACGAGAGGACAGGACGCCGCAGCCCCACCGUCAUCACCUGAGCUCUGCUCCACCACACACACACACACACACACACACACACACACACACACACACACACACACACGCACACUCUUCCAAGUAUGUUUGUCUUUAGCCACGAGUAAAUCACACAUACAGAAAAAUGAUAUAUUGGAAUAUAUUCCAAUAAAAUAUAAAUAUAUUUAAAUAUAUGUGGGAAAUGUAUUUAUCAAAUACAUAAAUAAAUUAAAUAUAUGUACAUGUAUAUUUGUAAAAUACACCCUCACCUCACAACCUUCUCCGUCCUUAGCACUAGGUUCCCAGAGUGGUGUUUUGCAAUGCUAAGUUGGAUCAACUGGAGUUGUAGUUGAAAAUAAAUUCUACAGCAAUUGAGGUGUAGCCUACCUGCCACUUAUGAAACAUAGUAAAAAUAAAUGAGGUGUUAUUUCGGAAAAUUAAAACACUUGAAAGUAAUGUUUUUAAUACAUUAAAAUAUGUUUCCCUAGCUGUCAAUCACAAUUUGAAACGUUCCCGAUCCCCAUCCCCAGCCCCACCUCCAAUUGAAGGAGCAGACUUUACAAUUUUGAAUUUUCUUCUGAUGAAGGAGAAGAGCUGUUGUCACUGCCAAAAAGCUUUUGGUCAUUUUAUUAUCCAUUCAUAACAUUGAAUUAAAAUAUGUUUUUAACCUGAUGGGUGACAAAGGAAGAAGAUCAUUUAUUCAACUGCAAGCAAGAGUUUUCAACGAACUUGCUAACUAACACAGCUAGCUACCUACCUAGCUAGCUCCUUCUUUAGCUUGCCACGAACAUGCAGUGUGACUGGUAAGAAUUGUUUUGAAAAUUAAAGUUCAGUAGAGUUAAUGUCAUGUAUUAGAUAUCAUUUCAUUACCAAAACUAUUGUUAAAAUGUUCUUGGCUAGCCAAGCAACGUGUUGCUUGCUAGCUACCUAACUUAGCUAGGUUUAGUGAGGGGGAUAUUUCUGAUAGAACUGGCUAGCUGGAUUAUUUAUAGCAACAACAAAAAAUAUAUUUGUACCUCCUGCAGUGGAUCCUUCUGGUCUGGAGCACAGUUGCCUAUGGAUAGACCCCAUCCAAUACUCCAUUAUCCACAAGGAUAUCGACUUGUCAGUCAGCAAUGAACACUGGAGGGUAACUGGGACUCUGAAAACACAUUAAGAAGGAAAGAAAUCCACACAUUAACUUUGACAAGAAACACCAGUUAAUUUAAAUGCAUUCCAGGUGACUACCUCCUGAAGCCGGUUGAGACAAUGCCAAGAGUGUGCAAAGUUGUCAUCAAGGCAAAGGGUGGCUACUUUGAAGAGUCUCAAAUAUAAAAUAUAUUUUGGUUUGUUUAACACUUUUUUGGUUACUACAUGAUUCCAUAUGUGUUCAAAUGUAUUAAUUUUGUAAGUAUAAUAAUGAUGUCAACAUUUGCAUAAUGCCUUUUGGUUAUAAAGGGCUUCAUCACAAACUCAAAGACGGGGUGUUUGCAUUACAUCACUGUUUCUUAAUCCUCGCCCUGAGGACCAAAAGGCAUACACACACAUGAUUACACUCAAAGGUUUGAUGAGUUUAUUAUUGAAAUCAGGUUUGUAGUGCUAGGGACAAAAACAUAAAUGUGCACCCCUUGGAUCCCCAGGACCAGGAUUAAGAAACACUGCAUUAUAUUAAUGCAUUAAUAGGUGUUUACACAGACUAUAAAGUAACUAUGAGCUCUUGUGAAUACUUAUAAAACAUCAAUGUGCAUUUCAGCACAUUGCAUGCAUGAGUAGUCGCUAGGUUUUCCUGUGCCUCUUAUCUCACCUUUCCUUGAAGCGCUAACGAGCCCCAG